AAAGAUACUAAAUUAUUGUAAACUAUAGUCACCCCACUGUGCUGAAAAUACUAGAACUUAUUCCUCCUGUGUUGGUAGCCACUAUCCAACCUCCCUCCUUUGCCUUCUCUUCUCCUUUCUAAUCUCUGGUGACUAUUAUUCUACUCUAUACUCCUAUGAAAUCACCUUUUAGGGUUUUCUUCAUGUUCAAUCUCUUUCCUAGGAAAUGUGCAGUGGAGUUUCUCACAGUGGGGAAACAAGGGGCUCACUGCAGGUUUAGUUACUGUGGCAGUGACUAAACAGGGAUGUAAGGUGCCUUCCAGGAUUCCUUAAAGGAUGUAAGGAGAGUAACUACCUCCCCUCUGUCUGUCUAGACUGGCCCUGAUGGUCAGAGGGUUCCCCUCCACCCCCUGGAGAGCUCUGUACCAUUGACCCACUGCCAGGUCAGCCUGGGAUUGUUUUUAUGUACUCUACAUUGGGUUUCAUUCAAACUGCACCUCUAACAAACUGUCAGGUGACUUUGGACACUUUGUUACGCUUUUAAUUCUUCAUUUAUAAGAUGAAGAAAGCUGUAUUUGAGGUUGUCAAAGUUCUCUUCCUUCCCAAAGUGCCCUAGAAUCUUAAACUUUCUUAACAGAAUCUUGAGUCACAAUGGAAUCAAGCAAAGAAAGAAUGCAGAACACUGAACCCACCAUACAGACCUUCAUUUCUCAACUGAAAGUCAUGCAGAAGAAGCUGCCCUGCCUCGUUCCUGCUCAGUCUCCUCUUCAUCCCCCAUCUACCCCUGCACUGGCUGGGUCUUCAGCUCCCUCCCUUCCUCCUCUCUCGCCUCUUAUCCCUAUGACUUCUCUGUCUCAUCGCCCUGUGACUUCCUCCAUCAGCAGUCACUUAGAUCAAACUAGUUCUCUUCCCAUCUCCUUCCCAAACCAUCUCCCUCCUCUUACCAAUCUUUCCUCAUCCCAUCUCCCUGCAUGGGUCACCUCUACCCUGGCCUGUCCUCCUCCUCCUGUCACCUACCUUCCUCCUCUCCCUCUCCCUUCUAUUCGCCGUCCCUUCCGACUUGCUCCCCUCUUCUCCCAUGCUUCUCCCUUUAUCCCUGCCCCUCCUCUUCACCCUUCCUUCCCCCGAUGCAUGGGCCUUGGACCCAGAUAGAUACCCCUUGCUUCUGCUGGAACAUCUGCCCCAGCCUGCCCUCGUCAGGCCUGAUGAUACCCAAACUCCAUGUGGAGGCCCCAGAUCCCUACCAAGAGGGGACCUGGCUUUUCCCAGAGCUUCUGGGAUUGUGGUAUCCAGCAUCCUAGUGACCUGGUGGACAUGGGGGACACUGAAUGGUGACUAGCAGUAAUACAACCUGGAGGAGCACCUCCCUCAGAAUUAAGAAUUUCUUCCAAAAAUGCAACACAAGGCCAAUUUCAAAUGGACUUUAAUAAUUUUUUUUGCUGCCCAAAUACUGUACAUGCAGAAGCCAUGUGAAGAAUUUUUUUCCUCGAGAGAAUUGGCAAGAAAAUCGUACAAAACAGCUGGCAGUCCCUCCCAGCUGUCCACCUGCCACCCAGGAACCACACGUUUGGAAAGAUGCUGCACAUAGAAAAUGUAUAGAGCACAGAUAUAAAAGGCAAAUUGCUUCUUAUCUAAA